UAAUGACUAUAGUUUCCAACAAGAAA
rnacentral:piRNA from 1 species